GAUACGCCGGCUCCAACACCCCCCCUUCGGCGGUCCUCCCCAAGGGACCCACGGGCUGGGGGUGGUCGCUCAACCAGUGGCGGUCUUUCCGGUGGAACCUCACGGCCAGCGCCGCCCGGCCGAACCCCCAGGGCUCCUACCACUACGGCAGCAUCAACAUCACCCGCACCAUCAAGCUCUCCAGCUCCCGCGUCGUCGAUGGUGGCAAGAUCCGGUUCACGCUCAACGGUUUGUCGCACGUCGAC
rnacentral:lncRNA from 1 species